CGUCUGCCUCUGUUGAGUUGACAUCUUCGCUAGGUUGCUAGGUUCCCGGUAAUGGACUGAUGGGGCUUCUUUUUUUUUACACAAUAACAGCGUCGAGGUACGUCAAGUGAGCUUCAUGUGUGUCUUCCAACUGUCCUGGAUUGACUGGAGAUAGUUUCCCUUCUGGUACCGCCUGUCAGCGAAAACAACAGAAUCAGCACUCUCUUCUGACGGCCUCCUAUAGGAUUCAACGCUGUUCCUUGCUCUGAUCAGCUAUUAGAGCCUGAGUGAAGAUGAUCUAUGAUUAUAGGUAGCAUAUCAAAUCUCAUAGCCUUUAUUUAAAGUUUGGGAAUAAUAAAAAUAAACAACUAUUACGUGUCAUAAUUCUGUCAACCGUCCAAUAAAUAAUUGGUAAUAAUAGUGGUAUUCGGUAUACAGAGGCCAUAUAUUUUGGUCUGUCACAUAUUGUUACGCAAACGCGCACACGCAAUGCAUUCCGCAUUAGCCUUAAAGGAUGGUUUACGAUGCCUUACAAAAACCAAAACGUGAACGUUACUUUGUUGGAUAAGAAGUCUAAAAUCGAUGAAACGGUUUAGCUCCUUUCUACGUUGUUGACAUUCUCACUAAAAUCACACCGGAUACAUCACUUGGAUCAUCACUUCAAGGUCCUCUCACUGUGCCUAGAAAACUUUGUGAACUACCUCACUGUGUCUCUGUCAUUAUGAACCUGCUCUCUAGAAUACUCUGAGAAGUAAUCUAAAGUCUGCUACAGUGUUACCUUAAAAUCAGACUAAAACAUAUAUUUUUUCCCCAUGCUUUUACCAAAAGCUUCCUACGAGUAUGGUUAACUGGCAAAACUUUUAUUUCAGAAUAUAUGUUAAUAUUGAUAUUCCAUUUUUUUAUUAAUAGUGAUAAUAUCUUCUUGAAUUAGUCCUUAUCUUCUUAUAUCAAUUCACACACAUCGACACAUUAGAGAACACGCUGUGAAUGCACGACAACUGUGUUCCUGCAGGACACUAAAGGUCAUCAACAUGUCUGGACAGUGUACACUGCCAUCAAUUCUGAAGCAUGCCAGCAAAACGCCAAAAUAUAAUAAAUGUAAUACACUUAAUAUCAUUCCCAACACCACUGACAGAUCACAGACUUCAAUAAGGUUGUGAAAUCCAGCAACGGGUUGGCAUUGACAAGUGUGUGCGUUCUGUCCUCUGAAAACACUAACGUUGAUCUAAAGUGUGAGAGUGUACAACCGAUCUUAAUUGUGUUUUGUUUUAAAUUGACGAAGAUGCCUUCUUAAUUUAGCUAAGCUUUUGCUUGGUCUAUUUACGUUUGUGUUCUCUAAAGUUGCAGUUCGUUGAGCUCUGCGGGCCAUCGUAAUAAAGAGAAAGUGAAAAGUCAACGGAAUGGAAAGACCUGCCAUCCGGUUUUGAUGGCUGCUCCCAUGCGCUCCUGCUGUACCGCAACAGCCACAACAACAGACAAAAGCAAUGCGAGAGCAAGAGCAAUAAACAGGAGAAAUGAUCAAAUGCUAAAUCAAGACGGUAGCAGGAUUUGGGAGAGAAAACCCCACGACUCAGCUAAAGAAAAACAAGGCUCCUUCUUCAAUUGAUGCAAGGCUGUUGCUCAACUUUCCAGCCAGGCGAGCUGGGCCGUUUUACCAGCCUUUUACAUCCCUCUCUCACAAACAAUGUGCUUUAUUCCAUUACACGGUAAAUCCAAUCUCAUGCUUCACGUGCCAUAGACAAGAAGCCGAGAGAGAGAGAGAGAGAGAGACCAAGAGAGACAGAGAUCCAAAGAGAGAGAGAGAGAGGGGGGAUGGAUUGAGAUAGGGAGACAGCGCAUGUGGAGGG
ensembl:lncRNA